ACCAUUCAAGCUCACUGCAGCACAUGCUACUUCCUGUUUUAAAGGGCCUUGUAGCAGCCCUUGUUACAUGCGUGGGCACGGAGCAUGAAGCAGAAAGCACAGCUUAAAAGAGAAGUUGAUAUACCCGGCGGCGUGACACUGACUGGUGUUUUACGUUUUCUCAAGCCAGCUAACACAAAAGCCACCUCUGUGUUCACCGUCACACCUGAAAGAGGAAUCCCCCGCCCCACCAGUAAGUCCCGCGUAAAACAUGAAGUUUAAUGGAAUCUGGCCAAAUGAAAUGUACUUGAUUGGUAUGUAUUCACUUUAUUCUGAGCAAAUCUUCCUAAUAAUUUGAAUAAAUAAACAGAUUUUAUUUAUUUCAGUUGCAUUAAAGUAUUGUUUUGUGUUAUGAUGGCAAAGAAUAAUCUUUCAGGUAUACCCCACGAUCAUGCAUCAGUUAUCUUUCGCACACAGUGUUCUGACCGUAUUCUGUGAUCGUGGCAGUGACGUGUAAAUAUUGGAGGUUAGCGUCCCGCUUUGUAAAAAAGCACGUGGACCUGCUGGUAAUUUGAACCAAUGCAAAGUCAAAUAAAAGUCACAGAGAAAACCUGAUUUAUUUCAGAUUUCCACAACAUUCGCUGCUCAGCUACGAGAGAGGAUAAUACAGGAUGUGAUUAAGCCGAGCAUAACCAUUAUAAUAUAAUGUAUAUAUAAAACAUCUAAAAUUGUUUCUGGAACUAGGGUUGGGGUUUGUAUUGGUUAAGAGAGUUGCUAAUACGUCGUGUCUGCAGGGUCCUCGAAAUUCCGACAAAAACAGAAGGAAAGAAAAAAAAAGAAACACGGGCGCGUGUGUGCGCGCGCGUGGGUAUUGUAGGUGGAGGCUGUUCUUACAAACCCCCUCAGCUCACAGAGCUCUGAGACAGUCUCCGCUGUGCACGGCUCCGAGUGAGUCUGUUCUCAGCUGAAGUGCAGACCGGUGAAAAACAGUGAGCGGAUAGUUGUAAGUAUUUUUUUCCCUUCGUCAUGUCUUUACUCUCUGUUUAAAGUGUGCAGGACAGCCUUUUUAAUCCACGCUGCCGCUAACACGAGCCUGUGAAAAUGAAGCGUCGUUAAGUUUGUCUUACUUAAUAACAUAAACUUGAUGCCUUGUCCAAACAAAAGCAGCCAUUGCCGUCAGCUGGCUGCAUUUUUAUUUGCAUAAUUCACCUGUG